AUACAGAGGGUGCGAGCGUUAAUCGGAAUUACUGGGCGUAAAGCGCGCGUAGGCGGUUAUUUAAGUCAGAUGUGAAAUCCCUGGGCUCAACCUAGGAACUGCAUCUGAAACUGGGUAACUAGAGUUUAGGAGAGGGGAGUAGAAUUUCGGGUGUAGCGGUGAAAUGCAUAGAGAUCCGAAGGAACACCAGUGGCGAAGGCGACUCCCUGGCCUAGAACUGACGCUGAGGUGCGAAAGCGUGGGUAGCAAACGGGAUUAGAUACCCUAGUAGUCC
rnacentral:rRNA from 1 species